AUACGGAGGGUGCAAGCGUUACUUGGAAUCACUGGGCGUAAAGCGCGCGCAGGCGGCUAUUUAAGUUGGAUGUGAAAGCCUACGGCUCAACCGUAGAACUGCAUCCAAAACUAUUUAGCUAGAGUGUGGGAGAGGAAGAUGGAAUUAGUUGUGUAGGGGUAAAAUCCGUAGAGAUAACUAGGAAUACCAAAAGCGAAGGCAAUCUUCUGGAACACUACUGACGCUGAGGCGCGAAAGCGUGGGGAGCAAACGGGAUUAGAAACCCUAGUAGUCC
rnacentral:rRNA from 1 species